rnacentral:rRNA from 2 species
UGAAUAUGGGGGGACCAUCCUCCAAGGCUAAAUACUCCUGACUGACCGAUAGUGAACCAGUACCGUGAGGGAAAGGCGAAAAGAACCCCUGUGAGGGGAGUGAAAUAGAACCUGAAACCGUGUACGUACAAGCAGUAGGAGCACCUUCGUGGUGUGACUGCGUACCUUUUGUAUAAUGGGUCAGCGACUUAUAUUCAGUGGCAAGGUUAACCGUAUAGGGGAGCCGUAGCGAAAGCGAGUCUUAACUGGGCGCUCAGUCUCUGGAUAUAGACCCGAAACCGGGUGAUCUAGCCAUGGGCAGGUUGAAGGUUGAGUAACAUCAACUGGAGGACCGAACCGACUAAUGUUGAAAAAUUAGCGGAUGACUUGUGGCUAGGGGUGAAAGGCCAAUCAAACUCGGAGAUAGCUGGUUCUCCCCGAAAGCUAUUUAGGUAGCGCCUCGGACGAAUACUACUGGGGGUAGAGCACUGUUAAGGCUAGGGGGUCAUCCCGACUUACCAACCCUUUGCAAACUCCGAAUACCAGUAAGUACUAUCCGGGAGACACACGGCGGGUGCUAACGUCCGUCGUGGAGAGGGAAACAACCCAGACCGCCAGCUAAGGUCCCAAAGUAUUGCUAAGUGGGAAACGAUGUGGGAAGGCUCAGACAGCUAGGAUGUUGGCUUAGAAGCAGCCAUCAUUUAAAGAAAGCGUAAUAGCUCACUAGUCGAGUCGGCCUGCGCGGAAGAUGUAACGGGGCUAAGCA